rnacentral:rRNA from 1 species
UACGUAGGGCGCAAGCGUUAUCCGGAAUUAUUGGGCGUAAAGAGCUCGUAGGCGGUUUGUCGCGUCUGCCGUGAAAGUCCGGGCUCAACUCCGGAUCUGCGGUGGUACGGGCAGACUAGAGUGAUGUAGGGAGACUGGAAUUCCUGGUGUAGCGGUGAAAUGCGCAGAUAUCAGGAGGAACACCGAUGGCGAAGGCAGGUCUCUGGGCAUUAACUGACGCUGAGGAGCGAAGCGUGGGAGCGAACAGG